GCUGUUGUAGUUUAAAAAAACAUUGGUUUUGUAAACCAAAGAAUGGAAGCUAAGCUCCCCCUCAGCAAA
rnacentral:tRNA from 1 species